AAAAUUCGAUUAGUUUUUCCAGCUGCAAGCAUUGAUUUUUAAUGUAACAAAAUAGCACUUUUAGCUUAUGCGAUAUUCACACUAAUUCCAAUUUUUUAAAUAUGGAUCUGGUUUUUCCGUGUUCUUCUAAUUGCACUUUUUCUUCUGAGUGAACCGCCACAUGUUCACAUUUGCCGACGUUUUAGUCGAAACUUGCAGGACGUCUCUUAACGUAACGGAUGAGACACAGAAAAUCUGCUGUAUAAAAAGUAGAUUUAAAAAUGAAAUUCGAUUUUAACACGUUUUUGUGUCUAAACUGGUCGUUUGCAUAAAUGCGCCGUCAGUUUGAUUAGCGAUGUUUUGAUAAACAAACAGUAACACAUUUAACAAGCAAGCAACAGUGGCAGUGAAACCCAUUAUAGACAUGGUUUCAAAAGGUGCAAACGCGAUGAUUUUCACGCUACUGCUGUGUCUUCAAGUGGCCACCAUCCAGGGUUUUGCUUGUCCAUCGAACUUCUGUGAUGAACAUCCUUGUGUAAGCCAGACUUCUUGUCCGGAAAAUCACACGCUUUCCCAGACGUUUUGUGGCUGUUGCAUGCGGUGUAUUCCAGUGAUUUUUGAAGGUGAACUUUGCUUUGACCAGCUUCGUGGCGUUCCAGCUGGAGCCGUUUGUGCAGAUGGGCUGAUUUGUUGCGACAGCAUCUGCUCAACUCCAGCCAAUUGCACAAGCCAGUUUCACCGAGUUGAAUAUUAAACUGAAAUUGUUAGGUUUUUGUGCUUUUGCUUUCUCCAUUUUUGUGCAAUGAACCAUCAAAGUUUUAAGUGAGGAGUCAAGGGUUGAAAAAUGUGUAGGGAAUUAUAAAAUUAUAUUUUUUUUCCAAACAAAA
rnacentral:lncRNA from 1 species